rnacentral:rRNA from 1 species
AGUGAACGCUGGCGGCGUGCCUAACACAUGCAAGUCGAACGGAUCUUAAGGGCUUGCUCUUAAGGUUAGUGGCGCACGGGUGAGUAACACGUAGCUAACCUGCCCCAUAGUAAGGGACAACAGUUGGAAACGACUGCUAAUACCUUAUACUCCUUCUCUACCUAAGUAGAGUCGGGAAAGUUUUUUCGCUAUGGGAUGGGGCUGCGGCCUAUCAGCUUGUUGGGGAGGUAAUGGCUCACCAAGGCUAUGACGGGUAGCUGGUCUGAGAGGAUGAUCAGCCACAUUGGAACUGAGACACGGCCCAAACUCCUACGGGAGGCAGCAGUGGGGAAUUUUACACAAUGGGCGAAAGCCUGAUGUAGCAACGCCGCGUGGAGGAUGAAGGAUUUAGGUUCGUAAACUCCUUUUAUAAGGGAAGAAAUUUGACGGUACCUUAUGAAUAAGCACCAGCUAACUCCGUGCCAGCCGCCGCGGUAA